rnacentral:piRNA from 1 species
GCAGGUUCACCUGGAGGAAGGGGUGUUA